UUUAGCUGUCAAAUCACCCUGCAACUCACAAAUGGCAGCCCACUGAAGCUAAGCAGGUGUGGGCCUGUGAGUACCUGGAUGGGAGACCUCCUGGGAAAAACGUAGGCUACUGCUGGAA
rnacentral:rRNA from 1 species